rnacentral:lncRNA from 1 species
CAGGGGUCUGCCGACACCCACUGGAGCACAGAUUUAAUCCAACUCAGUCAUGGCAGGCAGCCCAUCCUAGGGACUGGUCCCACCCAACAGCAAGCCCUCAGGCUACUUGUUGGCCUGCAUAGACUGGGUGCCUCAAUCCUCUGCAAGCAGACGUGGCAAUAAUCACAGAAGCGAGGUGCAGAGGCCUUCAGAGGCACACGUGAUCCAGGGGGCCAUGGACCCUGCCCGGCCCACUUCCUCAUUUUGUUUCCUGCUAGACCCUGGAAGGCACAGAACCCCAGCGAAGAACCUAAGAUGGAUAGAGGGAAAGUUUUUCCUCCUCUACAAACACAACGUCUGAGCAAUCAUUCCCUGAAGUCCAAGUUACACUGACUCAAGGGGGAGAAAACAACACAAAGAGGAUUAACUAGCUCACCGAGAGUUACACGGGAUAACAGGAAGAGUGAGUACUCACACCCAGGCAGUCUGAGUCUAGAGCUGUGUUCUUAAGUCUGAGGUCAUAAACCCCAACGCCGCUGAAGUCCAGGCCAAGCAGGAAUGGCCAGAUAGGAGCUGUGCCAAAUUGGUGCAUUUGCUCCCUGCUUCUUGGCCAAUAUUGCCC